GAGUUGUGUGUCCUCAGGCACUGCCGGGGCUGCGGCUGGGACGCUGGGCUCAGCGUCUGUGCUGACAGGAGCUCGGUCUCCUCAGGACUCGCUGGGGUUUCGGCUUCAGGACAACGUGGGGCUGCGUCCACGCUGACGGGAGCUGGGUUUCCUGAGGACGCAGGCGACGCCGGCGGAAAAGUCUCAGAUUUACCUGAUGACCACCACUCACAGUUCCCGCAGAGCCCAGAGAUUUCUCCUGGAAGGAAAGGUUCUGGAAAAUCAGAGGGAUAAAUAAAGGAUGCAGCUGAUUCCCGCCUUGUGCUGACGCCCAAGAGGGUGAGGAGAGCCACGAGGCAUGUGGGAUCUUAGCUCCCCACCCAGGGAUCAAACUAGCACCCCCUGCAUUGGAAGAUGAUGUCUUAACCACCGGACUGCCAGGGAAGUCCCCACAUUCCUGUAUUGUUGAACUUGAAUUUCUGAGCUAUGUCAGACUUGGGAUGCCACUGGCCAUUUUCAAAACAAUGUCUGCUGGUAGCUGCAACUGUACGUUUUCAAGGACUCCUCUCUUAACUAUUAAAUUUUAAACAAUGAUGUUAGAUCAGAUACUAAUAGAAAGAUGAGACAUAUGUGUAGUGGUCAAUAGCUCCUGUUAUGGAUAUGUUAAUACUACAUCAGAAGUUAAGACCUACUUAGGUAGAAUUAGACAACUGGCUACAAAGUCUCUCCGAAGUGCCAGUUCCAGACUGGGUUUCAGACUUAUUCUCCUGAAUUCCUAAGGGAAUGGGAUGUACUUUUACUAUUAAAGUUUCAGUUGUUACCCCUCCUAUUGUAACUGGGUUGGUUGCACCAAAAUGGCAGACCAAGGGAUUGAGAUCUUAAUCAUACGAGUCUCAGGUCCAGGACUUGGAACUCAAAUAUUUGUAAUUUGGUAUCCAUUCCCCCAGAUUUAGGCAGGAUGAUGCCCGCCCCCGCCCCCAGUUUCAGCAGGAAGCAGCCAGAGCAGUCGUUGCCCCGUUGCCUGAAAGAUGUGGGGAAAGAUAAAACUGAAGUGGGGAUUAAAACUGAGUCCCCUUAAAACCGA